GAUGAACGCUAGCGGCAGGCCUAAUACAUGCAAGUCGAACGGUAAGGCCCUUCGGGGGUACACGAGUGGCGCACGGGUGCGUAACACGUGGGAAUCUGCCCUUUGCUUCGGAAUAACAGUUAGAAAUGACUGCUAAUACCGGAUAAUGUCUUCGGACCAAAGAUUUAUCGGCAAAGGAUGAGCCCGCGUAGGAUUAGCUUGUUGGUGAGGUAAAGGCUCACCAAGGCGACGAUCCUUAGCUGGUCUGAGAGGAUGAUCAGCCACACUGGGACUGAGACACGGCCCAGACUCCUACGGGAGGCAGCAGUGGGGAAUAUUGGACAAUGGGCGAAAGCCUGAUCCAGCAAUGCCGCGUGAGUGAUGAAGGCCUUAGGGUUGUAAAGCUCUUUUACCAGGGAUGAUAAUGACAGUACCUGGAGAAUAAGCUCCGGCUAACUCCGUG
rnacentral:rRNA from 1 species